rnacentral:rRNA from 1 species
UACGUAGGUGGCGAGCGUUAUUCGGAUUUACUGGGCGUAAAGGGUCCGCAGGGUGCCUGCCAAGUCUGAUGUGAAAUACCAAGGCCCAACCUUGGAACUGCAUUGGAUACUGGUGGGCUCGAGUGCACGAGGGGAGAGCAGAAUUCCUGGUGUAGCGGUGGAAUGCGUAGAUAUCAGGAGGAAUACCGAUGGCGAAGGCGGCUCUCUGGCGUGCAACUGACCCUCAUGGACGAAAGCGUGGGUAGCAAACAGG